UCCUGCGCCGAAAAUGUCCGGGGCUGAAACACAACACCGAAGCUUAGGAACGAGAGAUCGUUGGUAGAGGAGCAUUCUUAAAGGGGCGAAGCAGUACCGGCAAGGAGCUGUGGACUUUUAAGAAGAGAGAAUGCCGGAAUGAGUAGCGAGAUGGAGGUGGGAAUCCUCCAGGCCGAAUAUCCAAGGUUUCCAGAGUAAAGCUGAUCUGCUCUGGGUAAGUCGGGGCCUAAGGCGAGGCUGAAAAGCGUAGCCGAUGGACAACAGGUUGAGAUUCCUGUACCGCGUAUCAUCAGAACUGUGGGGACACAGAAGGACAGCACAUCCCGGGAAUGGGAAGACCGGGGCAAGCAGGGUAGGAGUCAGGCAGGCAAAUCCGUCUGGCAAUCCGAAGCUGUGAUGCGGAGCGAACAGAAGUAGCGAAGUGUGCGAUUCCAGCUGUCAAGAAAAGCCGCUAUUGUGUGAUACGUGCCCGUACCGUAAACCGACACAGGUAGAUGAGGAGAGAAUCCUAAGGCCGGCGGGAGAAGCAUUGUUAAGGAACUCGGCAAAAUGACCCUGUAACUUCGGGAGAAAGGGUGCCUGGGAAACCAGGCCGCAGAGAAUAGGCUCAAGCAACUGUUUAGCAAAAACACAGGUCUAUGCAAAACCGUAAGGUGAGGUAUAUGGGCUGACGCCUGCCCGGUGCUGGAAGGUUAAGAGGAGAGGUUAGAGCAAUCGAAGCUUUGAAUUGAAGCCCCAGUAAACGGCGGCCGUAACUAUAACGGUCCUAAGGUAGCGAAAUUCCUUGUCGGGUAAGUUCCGACCCGCACGAAAGGCGUAAUGAUUUGAGCGCUGUCUCAACAAUGCACCCGGUGAAAUUGAAAUACCAGUGAAGAUGCUGGUUACCCGCGCCAGGACGGAAAGACCCCAUGGAGCUUUACUCCAGCUUGAUACUGGGAUUCGGUACUGCAUGUACAGGAUAGGUGGGAGGCUUUGAAUCAUGGACGCCAGUCUGUGAGGAGCCGCUGUUGGGAUACCACCCUUGCGGUAUUGGAUUUCUAACCUGCAGCCAUGACCUGGCUGGGGGACAAUGUCAGGCGGGGAGUUUGACUGGGGCGGUCGCCUCCGAAAGGGUAUCGGAGGCGCUCAAAGGUUCCCUCAUAAUGGUUGGAAACCAUUAGAAGAGUGCAAAGGCAUAAGGGAGCUUGACUGCGACACCGACGGGUGGAGCAGGUACGAAAGUAGGACUUAGUGAUCCGGUGGUAUGAAAGUGGGAUUGCCAUCGCUCAACGGAUAAAAGCUACCCUGGGGAUAACAGGCUUAUCACUCCCAAGAGUUCACAUCGACGGAGUGGUUUGGCACCUCGAUGUCGGCUCAUCGCAUCCUGGGGCUGUAGCAGGUCCCAAGGGUUGGGCUGUUCGCCCAUUAAAGCGGUACGCGAGCUGGGUUCAGAACGUCGUGAGACAGUUCGGUCCCUAUCCGGCGCGGGCGUAGGAUAUUUGAGAGGAGCUGUCCUUAGUACGAGAGGACCGGGAUGGACAGACCGCUGGUGUACCUGUUGGCUUACCAAGGCCAUGGCAGGGUAGCCAAGUCUGGACGGGAUAAACGCUGAAGGCAUCUAAGCGUGAAGCCCCCCUCAAGAUGAGAUAUCCCAUCGCAAGAGUAAGACCCCUUGA
rnacentral:rRNA from 1 species